AGAGUCCUGAAGUGUACGUUGUAUCACCUGAAAUUUUGACCGAACAUUAUUUCUUCGGGAGUCCGGUGUUUUCUGAUUGCGUAAAUGCCCCAUCCUUUUCGGAGUAGGGGACUUACAAAAUUGGAAACAGGACACCCCCCUGCUGCGUGCGGGAUCAAAAUGAAGGAACCCAAAGCGACGGCACAAAUUGGGACUCUU
rnacentral:other from 1 species